UUAGAUGUGUUAUACUUCUUUUAGCCCACACGUUUUUGAGCUUGAAGGGAUUCUAUCCUGUAUUAUAGGAACCACACCUCGUUGGCUGAGGAUCUGAACUCAACAGCAACUUUAACCCAGCUACCGAGAGGAGCCACACCGCCGGGGAUCAGCCACCGUGGACGGUGGGUCUGCCAACGCCAAGGAAGAUUGAAGAACAGAAGGACGAUCGCGUCUUUUUCUGAAAUCGGAUUUGGAACCGGGUCGUCGUCGUCUCAUUCAGUGACCCGCGUCCUUCCUCGCCGCUUCUACAACCUUCUUUACACCGGAGAGCCUCACGGCGUCGGACUAGCGGAACUCCAACCAAGCUGGCCGUCUCUGACAAUAUGAGCAACUUCUGGCACAAGCUGGGCUGCUGCGUGGUAGAGAAGCCCCAGCCG